rnacentral:rRNA from 5 species
AGAGUUUGAUCAUGGCUCAGAUUGAACGCUGGCGGCAGGCCUAACACAUGCAAGUCGAACGGUAACAGGAAGCAGCUUGCUGCUUCGCUGACGAGUGGCGGACGGGUGAGUAAUGUCUGGGAAACUGCCUGAUGGAGGGGGAUAACUACUGGAAACGGUGGCUAAUACCGCAUAACGUCGCAAGACCAAAGAGGGGGACCUUCGGGCCUCUUGCCAUCAGAUGUGCCCAGAUGGGAUUAGCUUGUUGGUGAGGUAACGGCUCACCAAGGCGACGAUCCCUAGCUGGUCUGAGAGGAUGACCAGCCACACUGGAACUGAGACACGGUCCAGACUCCUACGGGAGGCAGCAGUGGGGAAUAUUGCACAAUGGGCGCAAGCCUGAUGCAGCCAUGCCGCGUGUAUGAAGAAGGCCUUCGGGUUGUAAAGUACUUUCAGCGGGGAGGAAGGUGUUGCGGUUAAUAACCGCAGCAAUUGACGUUACCCGCAGAAGAAGCACCGGCUAACUCCGUGCCAGCAGCCGCGGUAAUACGGAGGGUGCAAGCGUUAAUCGGAAUUACUGGGCGUAAAGCGCACGCAGGCGGUCUGUCAAGUCGGAUGUGAAAUCCCCGGGCUCAACCUGGGAACUGCAUUCGAAACUGGCAGGCUUGAGUCUUGUAGAGGGGGGUAGAAUUCCAGGUGUAGCGGUGAAAUGCGUAGAGAUCUGGAGGAAUACCGGUGGCGAAGGCGGCCCCCUGGACAAAGACUGACGCUCAGGUGCGAAAGCGUGGGGAGCAAACAGGAUUAGAUACCCUGGUAGUCCACGCCGUAAACGAUGUCUACUUGGAGGUUGUGCCCUUGAGGCGUGGCUUCCGGAGCUAACGCGUUAAGUAGACCGCCUGGGGAGUACGGCCGCAAGGUUAAAACUCAAAUGAAUUGACGGGGGCCCGCACAAGCGGUGGAGCAUGUGGUUUAAUUCGAUGCAACGCGAAGAACCUUACCUGGUCUUGACAUCCACAGAACUUUCCAGAGAUGGAUUGGUGCCUUCGGGAACUGUGAGACAGGUGCUGCAUGGCUGUCGUCAGCUCGUGUUGUGAAAUGUUGGGUUAAGUCCCGCAACGAGCGCAACCCUUAUCCUUUGUUGCCAGCGAUUAGGUCGGGAACUCAAAGGAGACUGCCAGUGAUAAACUGGAGGAAGGUGGGGAUGACGUCAAGUCAUCAUGGCCCUUACGACCAGGGCUACACACGUGCUACAAUGGCGCAUACAAAGAGAAGCGACCUCGCGAGAGCAAGCGGACCUCAUAAAGUGCGUCGUAGUCCGGAUUGGAGUCUGCAACUCGACUCCAUGAAGUCGGAAUCGCUAGUAAUCGUGGAUCAGAAUGCCACGGUGAAUACGUUCCCGGGCCUUGUACACACCGCCCGUCACACCAUGGGAGUGGGUUGCAAAAGAAGUAGGUAGCUUAACCUUCGGGAGGGCGCUUACCACUUUGUGAUUCAUGACUGGGGUGAAGUCGUAACAAGGUAACCGUAGGGGAACCUGCGGUUG